rnacentral:tRNA from 1 species
UGGGGUAUCGCCAAGCGGUAAGGCUCUAGACUCUGACUCUAGCACCCUAGGUUCGAAUCCUAGUACCCCAGCCA